CUUGGAUGUUCUUCAGCACUUGCUCCUCUGGUACGUAGAUCUUUUCAAGGGUUUUCCCAAUCUUUUUCUCCCACAAGGAGACAAGAUCAUUGAAUGAGUAAGUAUUCUGAGGGGGCCUGAUGUAGAGGAUUUUAUUCAAAGUUCUAGGAUCAUUCACAGCUUUGAUGGUAUAGGUGCCAAUGUCAUCCUCCUUGUUAAAAACAGCUGGAGAUGCAAAAACGAAACAGGUAAGAUAGGAGUUGAACCAUUUUCCUUUACCUUAGAAUCUUGGGACUGCUCAGGUCUCUUUGUCAUUAUAUAUAUAUAGAUCAAAAACUCACAGCUGGAAAGCCAACUCCAGAGAACUGUUGACUCAAUAAAGGAGGCUUAGCCCAUCCAAUUCAGUUAAAAACAGAAGGUCAAUAAUGAUUAAUAACUGGAAAUGCAUGAUGAUUCCUUCAGUUCAACAUCAUGUUAGUUGCCUGGGUUAUAGCUCAAUUGCACUGUUGCACCCAAGCAGCAUACCCAACUGCUGGAAGGCUUUGUUUCUGAGUGAACAGGUUUGGUCAGCUGGAGAAGGGGGGAGUGAGGAGGGAUUUUCCAGGUUUAGAAUGGCUACAUUCUGAUCUGAAGGAAUGUAGGCCAUUCUCACCUCAACAACUUUGGCAACCCUGGCUGGAGAAGAUAAUAUGCAGAUACCAGUUUAUGAAAUGGUAAAUUAACAGUCACAUGGAUUUCAUGGUCAUUGAAAUAACUUUUCAUUAGAAUUAUUGUUCACACCCAUUACCAUUGGAUGUUUCAGAGCAGAUGCACCAGUGUAUUUUAAUGUCAAAAGGACAAAAUGCAACAGGGAAGUUCAACUCUUUUAUCAUUUUCAGAAAGGUUGCUUACCCUUUGGAUUCCCAUCUCCUAGAAUAAUAACUUUAUCUCUUGGGGGAGUAGUGGCUCCAGGCUGUGACAAUGAAGGAAGGAAAUAGCCAGCAAAGAAGUUGGAGGAUACAUAGGUGUAGGGAAUUCCUUCAGCCUCAAUAGUGCGGCGGAUUUGAGCCUUAGUUGCAAAUGCUGUUUUUGCUGGCUCAACAGCAUGGACACGGUCCACAUCAUUUCCAAACUCUGAUGGGAAGAAUCUCUAGACAAAAUAAAGCACUUUGAGACAAUGUAUGAAAAACCAGUUAUAUCUAUUCAGUCAUGAUAGCUCACAGACACAGAUCAUAUAUGGGAUAAAUGUUAACAAGAUGAUACAAGUGUUCUACAAGGAUAAAGUUGUCAUGCAAUUAGUACUUGGAAUGGUGGAAGGAAAGAGUGCACUGAUCAGGAUACUUACAUGUAAAGAAAAAAAAUUAAAUGAAAGGGAAGAAAAGAACUACAAAACUUCAUUCUGUAUCAAAUCACUUCAACAUCAAUUUUCAUCUUUUAUUAUUUAAUUAUAAUCCCUAGGGAGUGAUUUCAAAACAUUUGGCAGGAUUUAAUCAGGCUAAAUAGAACAACCACCAUUAGAGAAUAAUGCUAUGUAUCGUUGAAAAAUUAUCCAUAUCCAAUGACAGGCUCAGCUGCAUAGUUAAGUAACAGAUAUGGAUCCAUCAUCUCAUAGGGUAAAUAUUAAGUUCUUAUGGUUCUCCAUUCAACAUAAAGUUCAACAGCACCCAUUCUAGAAGAAACAAUUUGGAGCUCCUGACCUCAUUGUGAAGUGACAUCCAGCCACAUCUCCAUUAUGAGAGAUCUAGACAUCUGAGUCUCAGGGUUCCUUUUGCAGCUUUACAAAAGUGGCGAAGGGACUAUCUUAUGGUAAAGGCUUAUUGUUAUACUAACCAAAAGAAGGAAAUAGCCAUACUUCAGUACUACUUGAAGAGCUAAUAACAUCUCUAAAAUUUGAGGUUUUUUGAUUCCUUUUCCUAUGCUCUUUGAAAAUAUAGGAUUUUUAUUGUAUGUAGAUGAAAUUGUCUUUUAUGGCUUUCAGCAAAUGAUUUCUAUAAGAGUAGCCUCGUCUGAGGGGUUUAAUCAUUUCUAAAAAAAUAAAUUAUUUCCCAAACCAAAUAUUUGAUUAUGAUAAUCAAAAUAUGGGUUAUAUUAUGGCCCUGAAAGCAGUACACAAUAAACCCCAUUUCAGCUGGGAAGAAUAGAUCAAUUGUAAUCAGGCUACAUCAAGAAUUAAAAGCAAUUUUCAAACAUCUAAUAGCUGAGAUUGAGUGGGUUAUGGUACCUUUUUCUUGGAAAAGAACACUCAACUCAAUCCAACCUCACUGAAAUACCAUAGAUCUAGCAAGAAAAGAAUGUUAAGGUCUUUCAUGCACUUUCAAAGACUCUUUUAACAUUUCUAAGGAAGGUGAUAUCAUAUCAUGCACAAAGGAUAAAGAUAUUUGCGACAAAUGAUUACAAAUGCCAAUAAUAAAUAAAUAUCACAGUACUAGGAUCUGCAAAGAAGGGAGAAAUGACAAGGAGAAGCUGAGAAAUUGCAUCAGUUCGGACGGUUAUACCUUAACAUUUCCAGCUUCUUUGAUGGCAGCAAUGAUCUUCACUUGAUCCGGCAACUGUGCGUGGCCAACCGUGGAGAUCACAACAUCUACUUGCUUGAUCGCCUUCACCAAACUCUCGUGAUCGUAUAGAUCUCCCUGAAACAUAACAUAACCAAUCAAUAAACUAUUUCAUAACCCUAAUUCUCCAAUUAAGAAGUAAGAAUCCAAAGAUAGGUGUAUUUUUCCAGUUCACUGAAACCAAACAACUUAAAACAAAAACAUCCGAACUUUUCUUUUCCUGAGGAUCGCCAAUUUUUUCUUUCUGGAUGAGUGAAGAAUUUCAGUUUUCGUUUUUUUAGGAACUUCAAGAUCCAAAAAAUUCUAGAACUCCAACAAAUUUCGUUAAUUUUCCCGGCGGCAAUAAGAAGCAAAAAUUGGAAAAGCAAGAAUGGCGAGAAAAGAGAGCGAAUAGAACGUACAUAAACCAAAGUCACGCCAGAGCUCUUGAAACUCUCAAUGAUUUCAAACUUCUCCGAAACUGUGGAUUCUCUGACGAGAGCGAAGGUAGGGUGACCGGACUUAGCGCUGGCAGCGACGAUAAACUUUCCGAUGUAGCCAGUGCCGCCGAUGAUGAGAAUCUUGCUCUUUUCGGACAUUGUUAACUUUUUUCGGGCGAAUCUCCGGCGAGAUAUGUGGAAUGAGAAGACUAAGAUGAAAGGUCGCGGGGAAGUGGAUGGGCUCCAAAGACCAAGGACGACGAUCUUAUAGGACUGAGGAAAUUAAGAUUGUGUAAUUACGGAACUAGCCUUGUGUUUGAGCCGUAACUUCCGUUUUGGCUAUAUUUUGUAUGCGGCUUCAUUUUUAUGUGAUUCACGAAUGUGUCCAAGUUCAUUUGUUUGACACUUGGUUGGAAUCAGUCAAAUUACAAAACUACCAAAUGUUUGGUUUGGAAAGCGAAAAAGUGUACAAUCCGUUAGUAGAGGGAAAAAAAAUGUGUUUUGAGUAUAAAAUUAAUUAUAAAAUAUUAAUUUUUUAAAAAUAAUUUAAGUUUCGUGCAUUCAUCGAUUAAAAAUAAUACUUAAAAUAGUUAAUAGUAAUACCUAUAUCAUUAAAAUAUAGUACUUAAAUUAUCAAAGAUAAUACCUUUUGAUAGCGAAAAAUCCUCCAUUGAUAAUAGGAAGAUAUCUUCUACUGAAAUCAAAAAUAAAUUUUUCAUCAAAAUCCCUAUUUUACAUUCAAAUGUAUAUUCCAUCUAUGCAUUUAUCUCUUCCUUUGCAUUUAUCGUUUCAAUAUUCUCUUAAUUUUGUUCCAUUUUUAUAGACUUACACAUAUAUUCUUUUAAAUAUCAGACCCGUUUUACCUUUAAUUAAAAAGUAUAUGAAAUAAUAAUUAUUUUUAGAUAAUUAUAUAAAAUUUAUAAUUAUAUAAAUUGAGUUUUGAAAAAGCAUGAGAGAGAAAGGAAAAAGAUAUUGGUUUAAUUAAGGCAUACAAGUCGGUCUUCUUGAAGGGUAGUUAGAUUCCCUACCUAAACUCAGUCUUCUUUUUUAUUGCUAUGAAACUUCUUGCCAAGUUCCAAGUUUUUAGUCAAUGGAUUUAUUAAAUUCUGGUAUGACUUGGUGGGGUGUGUAGUAAUUAGUCUACGGGAGAGUCAUUAUUAAUAUGAAGCAGGGAUUAUUAUAAUAUUUUACUACAUUUCCAAUAGCAAAUGCUACCUCGAAGAAGUUACACGUCACAGCGAGACGCUCGAGAACUUUCGCAGAUUCCAAGACUUGACUUUCAAGCGAGCCAAAAGCCUUGGAUAUCAGAUUCCAAUUGGAAUGGUUAAACCUUUUCAAAUGUUUUCCAUAUAAUUUUAUUGGUUAAAAAAUAAUUAUAAAAGGGUUAUUUGAUUAAAAGGACAUUAAAAAUCUAAUCCUUUAUUUUUUUUUUAAUUAUAUUUUGAUUAAAAUGCCUUAUUCUUUUCUUGUAAAAAUAAUUUUUUUAAAACCUAUAUAUAAAUAAUUAAAAUAAUUAAGAAUAUUUAUGUAAAAAAUAAUUAUUUAAAAAAAAACAAAAAAAAUGUUAAGUUCAUAAAUUUGAAAAUUAUUUCAUCAUUUUAACCAAUCAAUUCAUUAUAAAACACUAAAAUCUCUUUUAAAAACACGACUUCUCUUUUUAAAUUUAAAUACAUGCUUACCCAGUAAAAUGAUUACCUUUUUCCAAAGUUUUUACUAUAAUUUGAUCCGAUAAAAAAAAUGAUAAUUAUAAGAGGAUGUUUAAUAAAUCAACUUAAUGAGUUAAAGAGAUUUAAUAACUCAAUUUAAAUUAUUAAGUAGAUUAAACAUGUUCGAUAAAAUAACUUAAUCUCACCACUAAUAUUUAAAAAGAGCUUUAAGUAUUCGGUCAAAAUAAUUAAUUUAAUUUUAAUUUUAAUUUUAAUAUUUUUUGUCUUAUUUACCUACAUGAACACAUAUUUAACAAUCAUAAUAUUAUAGUAAUAUGCUAAAUAUUUAAAUAUUUUAAUUAUAUUAUAUACUAAUAUGCUAAAUAUUUAAAAGCGUUACUCGUAAUUAAUAAUAUUAUAUAUUACUAUUAUCAUUAUAAAUUUUAUUAUACAUACAUUUAUUAAGAAGAAUACAUUUAUGAUGUCAGCUAUACUUAAGGAUUGUUGUAUUUAAUAUACAAAAGUGUGGGAAGAUGCGAUCGGGGUAUUUAAUAUAUAUAUUACUUCAUUAUGACAUACAUAUAAAAUAAAUAAAAGGUGGAUUCCACUUAUUCUACCUACCAUUCAUGGACCAUAUAAGAUAUAUUAUUUUAUCUUUUUAUCUUAUAUUAUAUUAGAUUAUAUUUAACAAACUAAACAAGACAUAAAGGACAACCGUUGUAUCAAAUUUCAAACUUGAAUAGUUCAUGAACUAAGCAUCAUUGCCUUUUCUUGUCUCAAUAGAAUAAGCCUUUUAAUUGUUUUAUAUACAUUUAUUUCUUCAUCAAGCCUGUUUCUUUCAAGCUCCCUCUCUUGAGCUAGAAAUAUUAUAGUAGGAGCUAGGUGUUCCUUUCUGUAUAGCUCCAUCUCUAAUCAGGUAUCAGAGAAGAUAAAAAAUCUAAUUCCAGAAACUUCUACUUGGAUAAGAUUAGAAAGGCACAUUGUCCUACUACAGAAUAUGCCCAAUGGCAUAGACAAGGAAAUAACCCACUAUUUUCCACACAACAUAAAUUAAGACAGCCACACAUGUUUGCUUAUUUAGAUAGUGCAGCAUGAAAAUGAAAAAGUUGAAAACUACCAGGACCAGAGUCUAACCUCAUCCUAUUUGACAUCAGGAUAUAGCUCUGAAGCCUCCACUCCAAAUGAUGGCUCGAUCUCGAAGUUGGUCUGGUCACCCUUAACAAAAACAGAGUGAUCGAUCGAUAAUAUUGCGUUGAGUGGAGCUGAGGCUUCUGCAAGAAACAGUGGAAAACCCAUUAAUCUAAAGGUCUUAGCCAUCAUUAACAGAUCAACUAUAUAAACGGAUUUUGGAGCCAAAAUGGCCUCUAUGGCUGAAAAAUUAUCCUUUGUGGAGACCUUCUUAAACUUAUUAUCAAGGUAGACCUCUUCAUGUCAAGCAGGAGUCAUUAAAUUAAUUUUUUCCUUUUUAAACUUAAGUUGAAACCACGUUUUGAAAAGGGUUUUUGCAUGCAUGGGUCAAAAUAAUUAUCAAAUUGCAAAAAUGACCCCUCUCUUUAGUUUUAUUGAGAGAUGUUCCUCUUUAAACACUUUUACCCUUUCAGAAAGAUCAUCUCCCUACUUAUUUUAUUCAUUCUAUACAUUUCUCAAUUUCUCCAAUCUCAUUUAUCUUUUCAGUUCAUUUUUUUUUUUUUAUCUCUCUUCUUCCUAACUCUCUGAGUCUCUUGCAUUACCAUGACUUCAGUUUUAAGUGUGACCACCAACUUAAUUUUUUCAUUUUUCUGGCCUUAUCUUAAACUUGCUUUGUUUCUUUUUCAAUGGAUGACACUCUAGGAAAACUUGAUCUCAUUUCAUAAUGUCCCACCCAAUUUUCUUAUCUCUCAAACAACUCCUCAUUCUCAUUCUUGAUGUUCAACUGAAGUGUUAAGUUUUAUUUAUUACGAAUUUAACUAAGGUUAAAUUUUGAUUGAGAAUGAUAAGCUAAAUUACACAAGUGUUACGUUUGGUUGCAAAAAACUUAAUUAGAGUUAAAUUUUCAAUCAUAAUAGUAAUAUGAACCCCGCUAAGUUAAGUUUUAUUUACAAAAGACUUAUGUGGGGUUAGAUUUCUAUUUCAUUUACAAAGGACUUGAUUAUGGUAACCUGAACUAUACUCUGGUUAAGUUUCAUUUAAAAAUAACUUAAUUAGGGUUAAGUUUUUGUUUCACCUACAAAGAACUUGAAAAAGAUCAAGGUCUUGUUAAAAUGCUCAUUUUCACUUAACUACCGAAACAUAGGGCUCGAUAAAAAUAGAGUUGGAUAAGAGAUUUAGUAAAUAACAGCUUUCUAUUCAAUCUCAUCUUCGACGUUGUAGAAGUUCAAAUGAAAUUGCAAAAUAAUCCUAACAAAAAAAAUUAGAAAAAACCCUAACAAAAAACAAUGACAUAAAACCCAACUAAAAAGAAAGAGAAAGAUGAGAUUCGAUCUCAUCUUCGCCAUUAUAGAAGUUUACAUGAAACUCCUAACAAAAAACAACGACAAAAAACCUCAACAAAAAGCUUCAUCCAAAAACAACGAGAAAAAACGCUAACUAGAAACAAAGAGAGAGAUGGAGAUCUGACCUCAUCUUCUAUAUUGUAGAAGUUCAAAUGAAGCUGCAACCAAACAAAAAACAACUCCUAAAAUUUGAAAUGUAAAGGGCUCUAAUGUUUGUUCAGGGGUUUGGACUUCACUGGAAAAAGAGAUGGAACAUGAACUUAGAGAGAAGGAAGAACCUAGAGAGAAGGAGAAAGCUAGGUAUCAAAAAUAGAAGGAACAUUUUUGGAGGAAGUAAAGAAGAGUAAAAAUGUCCAAAAUUGGUCAUUUCUCUAAAGAAUGAAUAAGGGAAGUCAUUAUUUCGAUUUUAAAAGUAUUUUAGUCGACUUCAAUCGAGGUCUGGGGCAUGAUCAGCAGAUUUUACCAGCAGUCCAGGUAACAUUUUCUAACUCAAAACAAUUGAAUCAAAAACCAAUUUCAUUUAAACAAUCUAGCAUAAAGGGAAUGUCAUAUUCACAAUCUCUGUUCCAAUUUAAAUUCACUAGGAAAACCAAAGCUUGAACACUUCCAAAAAGGAAAAUGUUUCUCACUAACCUUGGAUGUUCUUCAGUCACUCUGGAACACAUGUUUCUUUAUUUAAUGGUGCAGCAUGAGAAUGAAAACUACCAGAACCAGGAAGUACCUCUCACACAAACUGGUUGAGGUACUCAUCCACAGUUGUGUAUUUGACAUCAGGAUAUAGCUCUGAAGCCUCCACUCCAAAUGAUGGCUUGAUCUCAAAGUUGGUGUGGUCUCCCUUAACGAAAACAGAGUGACAGAAUGCUAACAUCACAUUGAGUGGAACAGAGGCUUCUGCAAGAAACAGAGGAAAACCAUCAAUCUGAAGACAUUUACCAUCAUUAAAACAUCAACUAUAUGAACAGAGUUUAGGGCCAAAAAAUGGCCUCUGUGGUAAAAAAAUUAUCCUAUGUAGGAACCUUCCCUAACUUACCAUCAAACUAGAACUCUUGAUGCCACCUAGGCACAAUUUUUUAUUUUUUCCCUUUUUUAGUCAUAGGUUGAAACUGCAUUUUGAAAAUGCGGUUUCUGAUUUUAUGUGAAGCCACAUUUUGAACAAUGGCUUGAAACAUGAUCCAAACUCAAUAUCAUUUGACCAAAACAGGCCUUUUUUACCCAAAGUUCAUAUAAACACGUGAUACUUCCAAGUUCAACCAACUCCUCUUUCUUUCUUCUUUUUAUUCCCUUCUUUUUUCAAAUCCAAUGAGCAAUAGUGAAUUGUUAGUCUGUCAUAUGAAUCUCUUAGGAAGACCUUAAUCACGGUCUGGGGCAUGAUCACCAGAUUUUACCAGUAGGCCAGCUAACAUUUUCUAAGAAAAAAGAAUUGAAUCAAGAACCAAUUACAUUUUAACAAUGCAGCAUAAUGGGAAUGCUCUAUUCCCAAUCUCUGUUCCAAUUUAAAUUACUAGGAAAACCAAAGUUUGAACAGUUUCAAAAAAUGAAAAUGUUUCUCACUAACCUUGGAUGUUCUUCAGAACUUGCUCCUCUGGAACAUAUAUCUUCUCAAGGGUUUUUCCAAUCUUCUUUUCCCAUAAGGAGACAAUUUCGUUGAAUGAGUAGGUGUUCUGAGGAGGCCUGAUGUAAAGGAUUUUGUUCAAGGUUCUAGGAUCAUCCGCAGCUUUAAUGGUAUAGGUGCCAAUGUCAUCCUCCUUGUUAAAAACAGCUGGAGAUGCAAAAAUGAAAUGAGUAAAAUAGAGUAGAAUCAUCUUCCUAUUCCUUCAAGCUUGGACUACUCCGUAAUUCCACUUUUUUUGUUUACAGAACACAAACUUGAAAUUAUUUUGAUAUGAAACCAAGUUAUUGUUUUCAUUUAAUGCUCAUGUCAAAAACUCUCAGCUGGAGAGCAACCCAAGAGGACUGUCAAUAUAAAAAAAGAGGCUUUAGCCCAUCCAGUUCAGAUAAUAAUGAUUAAUUACUAGAAGUGCACAAUGGUUCCUCAGUUUGACCACUCCAGGUCACAUGGAUCAUGCUAGUUUCCUGUAUUAUGGCUCAAUUGCAAUGUAGCACCCAAGCAGUCAACCUCAACUGUCGGAAGGUUUUGUUUCUGGGUGAACGGGUUUAACCAGCUGGGGAAAGGGGGAGUGGGGUGGGGUUGUCCAGGUUUCAAAUAGCCACAUUCUGAUUUUCAGGAAUAUAGACCAUUCUCACCUCAACAACGCUGGCAACCCCAUCAAUUUUUUUGCCUGGAGAAGGAUAAUAUGCAGCUAUUGGUUGGUGAAAUGGUAAAUUACACUCUCAAAAGGAUUCCAUGCUCAUCUACAUAACCCGCUGAUUAGUAUUACUUUUUAAGCCCACUAUCAUCAGAUGUCACUGAUACAUGGACCGGUGCAUUCUAACAUCAAAACGAGAAAAUGCAAUGGGAAAUUAAGUUGUAUGAUUUUCAGAGGUUGCUUACCUUUUGGAUUCCCAUCUCCUAAAAUAAUAACUUUAUCCCUGGGGGGAGCGGUGGCUCCAGGCUGUGAAAAUGUAGGAAGGAAAAAGCCAGCAAAUGUGUUGGAGGACACAUAGGUGUAGGGAAUUCCUUCAGCCUCAAUAGUGCGGCGGAUUUGAGCCUUUAUCUCAAAGGCUGUUUUUGCUGGCUCAACCGCAUGUACACGGUCCACAUCAUUUCCAAACUCUGAUGGGAAGAAUCUCUGGAUGAAAUAAAGCACUUUAAGAAGAAGCUGUAUAACUCAAUAGAUUGAAAAACGGGUCAUAUCUAUUUAGUCAUAUUAGCUCACGACAGGGAUCCUAUAUGGGAUACACUUUGACGAACUUGAUACAAGUGUUCAGCAACCAUAAAGACAUACAAUUAGCAAUUCAAACGAUGGAAGGAAAGAGUGCACUGAUCAGGAUUCUUAAAAAGUGAAAGAAAAAACCAUGUAAGAAAUGUGAAAAAAAAAACUACCAAACUUCAUUCAUAGAAGGAAAAUGCGCACUAAUCAGGAUGCUUAGAAGAUGGAAGAAUAAAAACUAAAUGAAAACAGGAGAAAAAAAAAAAAAAAAACUUCAUUCUUGUUUAGUUGUCUUGCUGCUUUUUGAAGCCUUUUGUAUACCAUUUGUCUACAUUGGGUGUGCUGUCUUUUUUUGUUAGGCGCUUCUCUGUUAAUAUAGUUUGUUUUUAGCCUAUCAAAAAAAGGGGGGGGGGGGGGUGGUGGUUGUGGGUGUAUACAAUGGAUUGGAAGUGGUAUAGCAUGCCCCAUGAAAGGGAAUUAGUAUUUAAAAUUUUUUCCUUUUUACAUCAAAAAUUAAGAUUGACUUUAAAGCAUCGAUCCAACCUGAGUCAAUGCACAUGGAUCUAGACAAGAAUCAAGAUUGUUGAUCCUCAAUGAAUAUUGUAUAUAUGGAAUGUUCUUUCAUGCACUUCCAACAUUUCUAAAGAAGGUAUUAUUACAUUAUGCACAAAGGAUAAAGAUAUCACCAACAAAUUAUAACAAAUUCCAAUAAUAAAUAUCAUAGUACUCGGAUUUGCAAAGAAAAGAGGGAAUUAGAAAGAAGAAAAGGAGAAAAGGAGAGAAAUUUCGUCAAUUUGGACAACUUUACCUUGACAUUUCCAGCUUCUUUGAUGGCAGCAAUGAUCUUGACUUGAUCCGACAACUGUGCGCGACCAACGGUCGAGAUGACCACAUCCACUAGAUUAAUCGCCUUCACCAAACUCUCGUGAUCGUAUAGAUCACCCUGCAACAUAACAUAACCAAUCAAUAAACUAUUUCAUAACCCUAAUUCCCCAGUUAAGAAGUAAGAAUCCAAAAGCAGGUGUGUUUUUUCACUUUACUGAAACCAAAAUAACUUAAAACAUAAACAUCCGAACUUUUCUUUUCCUGAGGAUCGCCACUUUUUUCUUUCUGGAUGAAUGAAGAAUUCCAGUUUUCGUUUUUUUAGGAACUUAAACAUCCAAAAAUUCAAGAACUCCAAUUAAUUUCAUUCAUUUUCUCGGCGGCCAAAAGAAGCAAAAAUUAGAAAACCAAGAAUAGCGAGAAAUGAGAGCGAAUAUUACGUACAUACACCAAAGUCACGCCGGAGCUCUUGAAAAUCUCAAUGAUUUCCGACUUGGAAGGAUUCGAAACGGCGGAUUCUCUGACGAGAGCGAAGGUAGGGUGACCGGACUUAGCGCUGGCAGCGACGAUGAAUUUUCCGAUGUAGCCAGUGCCGCCGAUUAUGAGAAUCUUGCUCUUUUCGGACAUUGUGAGCUUUUCCGGCGAAUCUCCCGCGAGAAAUGUGGAAUUGAGAGGACUAAGCGAAAGGUGACUGGAGAGUUGGUGGGCACCAACGGCCAAAGACAAUGCUCUUGUAGGACAGAGCUCGAGGAUAUUAGGAUUAUGUAAUUACGGAACUAGCCUUGUGUUUUGGUGGUAAUCUCCGUUUUGGUUAUAUUUUGAAUGUGGCUUGAUUUUUAUGUGAUUCAUGAAUGUGUCAAAGUUCGCUUGUUUGAAAAUUGGUUUAGAUUGGAAAGUGAAAAAGUGUAUAUCACAUGAGAGAUUUAUAAAUAGAAAAAAAUGUAUUUUCACACACUAAUGUAAAAAUAAUUACAAAAUAAAAACUCUUUAAAUAAUUAUAAAAUAAAAACCCUUUAAAAAUAAUUUAAAUUUUAUGCACUCAUCGAGUACAUGAAAUGAUAAUUUAAUAUAGUUAUGUGUAACGACCCGCUCUCCCAAUAAUGACUCCCCUAGCUUUAAAAAAACGUCUUUAGGAUUAAGAUUGAUACUAUUUAUAAUAACUCGUAAAACCUAAAAAGGUCAUCACGACUUUAAAAUGCGUUUGCAAGAUUAAAAAAAAAUAAAAAAAAUUAUACUUAGAUAGUGUUAGGAACUUUCUCCCCUAUCUGAUGUGUGAUGUUACAAAUAUCCCCCAUGCAGACACAACAUCCUUGUUGUAUCUCAUGGAAUUGUGGAAUUAGAAUGAUAAUUUAAUGUAAUUAUGUGUAACGAUCCACCCUAUUUGAUGUGGGAUGUCACAAAUAUCCUCAUGCAGACACAACGUCUUUGUUGUAUCUCAUGGAAUUGUGGAGUUAAAAUGAUAAUUUAAUGUAGUUAUGUGUAAUGACUCGUUGUCCCAAUCAUGUAGAUAUUAUUCGUUUUGGACCCAAAAAAUGACUUUCCUGACUUUAAAAAAACGUCUAUGUGAUUAAGAUUGAUAUCGUUUAUAAUAACUCGCAGAACCUAAAAAGGUCCCCACGACUUUAAAAUGUGUUUACAAGAUUUUUAAAAAAAAUUAUACUUAUAUAGUGUUAGGAACUUUCUCUCCAUAUGAUGUGAGAUGUCACAAACAUCCCUAUGCAGACACAACGUCCUUAUUAUAUCUCAUGGAAUUAUGGAGUCAAAUAGACAAACACUCCCUAUGAGGCAAACAAACUCCCACACCGAAAUCAGAGAUCAAUUCCGAUAUUAUUUGUAACGAUCUACUCUCAAUUAUAUAAAUAUUGUCCAUUUUAAUCCGAAAGGGCAUUACAGUUUUAAAACGUGUGUACAGGAUUAAGAAAAGCCUUUACAUAUACAGUGUCAUGAUUUUUUUUUUCCUAUCGGAUGUGAGAUGUCAUAUUAUGAAUCCGUCAUUCUGUCUUUAUUCAUUUGUUGCAUUUAAGAUAUUUGAAAAAUUGAGCGAUUUUAUAAAAUGAGUUUUGAAAAGGCAUGAGAGAAGGAAAAAGAUACUAGUUUAAUUAAGGCUUACAACCCGGUCUUCUUAAAGGGUGGUUAAAUUCCCUGCCUAUUAAAUUUCUUAUCAGGUCGUUAGUCAAUGGAUCUAUUAAAUUCUAGUAUGACUUUGUAGAGUAGUAAUUACUCCAUGGGUGAGUAAUUAUUAAUAUGUAGCUGGGAUCAUUAGUAUAUUUUACUACAUUUCCAAUAGAAAAUGCUACCUCAAAUAAGUUACAUGUCUCCGCGAGACACUCAAGAAUUUCAGCAUAUUCCAAGACUUGACUUCCAAGUUAGCCAAAAGACAUGGAUAUGAGAUUUCAAUUGAAAUGAUUAAACCUUUUUAGAAUGUUUUCACUAUAAUUUCAUCGGCACAAAAAAAUAAUUAUAAAACACUAAAAUCUCUUUUAAAAACAUGUCUUUUAUUUUUAAAUUUAAACACUUACUCAUCAUUUUUAUUAGGAAUGAUAAUGAGACAAGUUUUUUUAGAUAUUUGUCUGCCUUGUUCUUAAUGAAAUGGGUUUAAAAUUUAAAUAAACGAAAUUAGAAUGAAUUUGGGAUUUUUUUAAAAACUUGGUACUAGCUAUUGUCUUUUCUCAUCCUAUCUAAAUUAUAUAUAAAAUUAAUUUAGUUUUAUUUUUAUUUCCCUAUUUGAUAUAUAUAUAUAAUUAUUUAUAAAAUACAUUUAUUUUAAUGUAAUUAAAUUUAAAAAAAUCAAAAUAAAUAAAUAAAUAAGACGAGAUGGGCAUGAAAAAUUCACAUACCUACCUUAUUUAAUUUUUUAAAUAAGAUAGAAAUGAGAAUUAUUUUGAAUAAACAAGAUAAGGUUGAAAUGAGAUCAACUCGUCUUAAACUAGUCUCGUUGCUAUCUCUAUUUUUUAUACUUUUUUAGUUGAAAGGGAUAAAUGAAUUAAAGUUAAGGAUUAAGAUUAAAUAUUCUACUUUACAAAAAAAAAAAUGAGACUAUUAAAUAUUAUUAGAAUUUUAUCAACUAGUCAUAAGAGUUUAAAAAAGAAAAUAUUGAUGAACAAUUCGUAGGAGGAAAUGAAUUGAGAAUAAAUUGACCUAGUGAACCUUCAGUUGCAUUGCCUCCUACUAUGUUCCACUUAUUCAGAAACGAAAGAGAAAGGAUGAGGGAUCUAUAACUAUAAGUUAAAAGGACAAAGGAUCAGGACAAAUAGAGGAUAUAUAUUAUGAGAUAUUAUUUCUAAUAGAAUAUGAUAUUUUAAAAUAUUGCAUUUAAUAUCAUUUAGAAAUUCUUCUCUUAUUUUUAUUUUAAUAAAUAAUUUUUAGUAUUUUAGUAAUAAUGUUUAUGAUUAUAAAUAAUAUAUAUAUAUAUAAAAUUAUAUUAUAUACUAAUAUGCUAAAUAUUUAAAAGCAUUACUAGUAAUUAAAUGAUACUAUAUAUUAAUAUGAUCAUUAUAAAUUUUAUUAUACAUAUAUUUUUUAAUUCUUUUAUUAAGAAGAAUAAAUUUAUAAUGUCAGUUAUACCUUAGGAUUGUUGUAUUUAACAUAUAGAGAUACAAAAGCGAGGAAAAAUGCAAAAGAAACUAUGAUUGAGUUAUUCUAUCAUUUACCGACCAAACAUGAUACAAAAUAUAUUAUCUCAUCUUUUAUCUUAUAUUAUAUUAUAUUCAACAAACUAAACAUAACAUAAUAGACCGACAUUCUAUCAAAUUUCUCGUAUUGUGAUUUUAAAACUUGAAUAGUUCAUGAACUAAACAUUAUUGCCUUUUCUUGUCUCAAUGGAAUAAGCGUUUUAAUUGUUCUAUAUGCAUUUCUUCAUCAAGCUCCCUCUUUUGAGCUAGAAAUAUUAUAUUAGGAGCUAGGUACUCCUUUUUGUAUAGCUCCAUCUCUAAUAAGGUACCAAAGAAGAUAAACUACAAAGGCAAAGAAAAUCUAAUUCCAGAAACUUCUACUUGCAUAAGAUUAGAAAGGCACAUUGUCCUAUUACAGAAUAUGCCCAAUGGCAUAGACAAGGAAAUAACCCACUAUUUUCCACACAACAUAUAUUAAGACAGCUGCACAUGUUUGCUUGUUUAGAUAGUGCAGCAUGACAGUGAAAACUACCAGGACCGAAGUCUACCUCUCAAACAAGCUGGUUGAGCAACUCAUCCACAGUUGUGUAUUUGACAUCGGGAUAUAGCUCUGAAGCCUCCACCCCAAAUGAUGGCUCGAUCUCAAAGUUGGUUUGGUCUCCCUUAAUGAAAACAGAGUGAUCGAUUGAUAAUAUUGCAUUGAGUGGAGCAGAGGCUUCUGCAAGAAACAGAGGAAAACCCAUCAAUAUGAAGAUUUUAGCCAUCAGAUCAACUAUAUAAACAGAUUUUGGGGCGAAAAUAGCCUCUAUAACUGAAAAAUUAUCAUAUGUGGAUACCUUCUUUAACUUAUUAUCAAGCUAGGCCUCUUCAUGUCACCUUGGAGUCAUUUAAUUUAAUUUUUUCCUUUUUAAAUGUAAGUUGAAAAUGCAUUUUGAAAAGAGUGUUUGGACACACGAGUCAAAAUAAUUAUCAAAUUGUAAAAAUAACCCUUUUUUCAAUUUUGUUGAGAGAUCCCAGCAGUCAAAAUAAUCAUAUAAUCAAACCCAGUCUUUUUCUUCCCAACCUUUUUUUUUUUGGCCUUAUCUUAAACUUGCUCUAUUUCUUUUUCAUUUAAGACACUCCAGAAAAACUCAAUCUCAUUUCAUAAUGUCCCACUGAAUUUUCUUAUCUCUCAAACAACUUCUCAUUCUCAUUCGUGAUGUUCACCUAAAGUGUUCUAUGAUUAAAUUUUAUUUAUUACGAAUUUAACUAAGGUGAAAUUUUCAUUAAGAUUGGUUAGCUGAAUUGCACUAGUGUUAUGUUUGGUUGUAAAAAACUUAGUUAGAGUUAAAUUUUCAAUCAUAAUAGUAAUAUGAACUCCACUAUGGUUAAGUUUUAUUUACAAAAAACUUAAGUGGGGUUAGAUUUCUAUUUCAUCUACAAAGAACCUGAUUAUGGUAACUUGAACAAUCCUCUGGUUAAGUUUCAUUUAGAAAGAACUUGAUCAGGGUUAAGUUUCCAUUUCACCUAUAAAGAACUUAAGUAAGAUCAAGGUCUUAAUUAAAAUGUUCAUUUGCAUUGAACUACCAAAACAUCGGACUUAGUAAAAACAAAGUUAGAUGAGAGAUCUAGUAAAUGAUAAGUUUCUAUCUGAUCUCGUCGUCAACAUUGUAGAAGUUCAAAUGAAAUUGCAAAAUAACCCUAAUAAAAAAAAAAUUAGAAAAAACCUCUAACCAAAAACAAUGACAAAAAACAAAACUAAAAACAAAGAGAAAGACGAGAUUCGAUCUCAUUUUCGUCACUAUAGAAACUUACAUGAAACUACAAAAAACCUUAGCAAAAAACAACGACGAAAAACAAAGAGAGAUGGAGAUCUGACCUCAUCUUCUAUAUUGUAGAAGUUCAAAUGAAGUUGCAAAACCCCUAACAAAAAACAACUCCUAAAAUUUGAAAUAGAUAAGGCUCUAAUCUUUGUUCAAGGGUUUGAACUUCACCAGAAAAAGAGAUAGAACAUGAACUUAGAGAGAAGGAGAAGGCUAGGUAUAAAAAAAUGGAAGGGGCAUUUUUGGAGGAAAGAAAGAAGAGUAAAAAUGUCCAAAAUUGGUCAUUUCUCAAAGGGAAGUCAUUAUUUCGAUUUUAAAAGCAUUUUAGUCGACUUCAAUCGAGGUCCGGGGCAUGAUCACCAGAUUUUACCAGCAGGUCAGCUAACAUUUUCUAAGUUAAAAACAAUUUAACCAAGAACCAAUUUCAUUUUAACAAUCUAGCAUAAAGAGAAUGUUCUAUUCACAAUCUCUGUUCCAAUUUAAAUUCACUAGGAAAACCAAAACUUGAACACUUCCAAAAAGGAAAAUGUUUCUCACUAACCUUGGAUGUUCUUCAGAACUUGCUCCUCUGGAACGUAUAUCUUCUCAAGGGUUUUUCCAAUCUUCUUCUCCCACAAGGAGACAAUUUCGUUGUAUGAGUAGGUGUUCUGAGGAGGCCUGACGUAAAGGUUUUUGUUCAAGGUUCUAGGAUCAUCCACAGCUUUAAUAGUAUAGGUGCCAAUGUCAUCCUCCUUGUUAAAAACAGCUGGAGAUGCAAAAGUGAAAAUGAGUAAGAUAGAAUAGAAUCACCUUCUUAUUCCUUCAAGCUUAGACUACUCUGUAAUUCCACCUUUUUUCUUUUACAAAACACAAACUUAAAAUUAUUUUCAUAUGAAACCAAGUUAUUGUUUUCAUUUAAUGCUUAUUUUUUCAAAAACUCUCAGUUGGAAAGCAAACCCCAGAGAACUGUUGAUAAAAAAAAGAGGCUUUAGCCCAUCCUGUUCAGUUUAAAACCCAAUAAUAAUUAUUAGUUACUGGAAAUGCAUAAUGGUUCCUUCAGUUCAACCCCUCCAGGUCACCUGGAUCAUGCUAGUUUCCUGGAUUAUGGCUCAACUGCAGUGUCACACCCAAGCAGUUGACCCCAGCUGUCCGGUUUUCAAAUAGCCACAUUUUGGUUUUCAGGAAUACAGACCAUUCUCACCUCAACAACACUGGCAACCCCAUCAAAUUUUCUGCUUGGAGAAGAUAAUAUGCAGCUAGUGGUUGAUGAAUGCACAUUCAAAUAACCCAUUGAUUAGUAUUACCUUUUAAGCCCACUAUCAUCAGAUGUCAUUGAUCAUGGGAGCGAGUGCAUUCUAAGGUCAAAAGAAGAAAAUGAAACAGAAUUUCAGUUGUUUUA
rnacentral:lncRNA from 1 species